rnacentral:rRNA from 1 species
AUUGAACGCUGGCGGCAUGCCUUACACAUGCAAGUCGAACGGUAACAGGUCUUCGGAUGCUGACGAGUGGCGAACGGGUGAGUAAUACAUCAGAACGUGCCCGAGAGUGGGGGAUAACGAGGCGAAAGCUUUGCUAAUACCGCAUACGAUCUCAGGAUGAAAGCAGGGGACCGCAAGGCCUUGCGCUCACGGAGCGGCCGAUGGCGGAUUAGGUAGUGGGUGGGAUAAAAACUUACCAAGCCGACGAUCUGUAGCUGGUCUGAGAGGACGACCAGCCACACUGGGACUGAGACACGGCCCAGACUCCUACGGGAGGCAGCAGUGGGGAAUUUUGGACAAUGGGCGCAAGCCUGAUCCAGCCAUGCCGCGUGCAGGAUGAAGGCCUUCGGGUUGUAAACUGCUUUUGUACGGAACGAAAAGACUCUGGUUAAUACCUGGGGUCCAUGACGGUACCGUAAGAAUAAGCACCGGCUAACUACGUGCCAGCCGCCGCAGUAACAC